UUGUUGUUUGUAGUUGAUUAUGAUUAUGAUGAUGGUCUUCAUGAUGAUAAAGGUUUAGGAUAGGAAUGAGAGGAUGUAAAUGAUAUGAUAAAAAUGGGAAGUCAACAUUUAAUAUAAACGACAGAUGAAAAAAGCACAUUAAAGCUGGUAUAUUUGGGAAAGAGUAGAUUAACACCAGGCACUUUAGAUUAGCCUUUGGGCUUAUCCCAUUAUUUUUUUGCCUUAAUUCACACCAUUAACUACUUGAGAUUAAUAACUCUCACCUACCUUUAAACACCGUUUCUCCAUGCAGUAUUUAAUAAUAAUAACCAAAUAUUUAAUGGUUCAAGUUUGGGAAAAGCCUCUAACAGAUUUUUGUAAAUAAAUUAUCAUUAUUAUACACUUGACCAAAAAAAUCACAGCUUUGACUAAAUACUGGUAAUCAGGAUAAGUGUGUUGUUUAGCUUCAAUGAGGUACCCAACAGGGUAAACAAGCCCUUUUCAAUGGUUAACUUGGUCAACUGUUGAAAAUUUAUUCAUUUGUGUGUGGAAAGGUUAUUAUUUUUUAAUUUUGGGAUAACAAGAGUAUAAUAAAUAAUGUCAUUAUUGUCCUCGAGUUGAUUUGGUUCAAUGUUAUUGUCUCGGUUUUCAUUGGUCUCUUUGGGUUCAAUCAGUUGUUCACAGUCGGCACAUAAUCGUUCACUUUCUCCUGGUGAGGAUAACAAGUUGUUUGAUCGACGGAUCUUAGUUGGUUUACUUGUUUCCACACCGACACCCGAAUCGUUACGUUCAACCGGAGUUCCGGUUGUACUAUUGGUUAAUGAACAGUCUUCCGUUUCAAUGGAUGAGCUAGUUGCUGUGGUACUUGAAUCAUUUGAUGAGCUACUAACAUUACUGACAUUAGAGAUACUCUAAUAUCUCGUCUCUUGAUGCUCCUUCAAAAAUGGAUCUUUUGGACAUUGAAUGGUGGUUAAUAUAACCAAGGUUUGAUUCAUUGAUUGUCAACCCAUUAAUCUCCAAA